AUUGAACGCUAGCGGGAUGCUUUACACAUGCAAGUCGAACGAGUGGCGGACGGGUGAGUAAUAUAUAGGAACGUGCCCAGUAGCGGGGGAUACCUACUCGAAAGAGUGGCUACUACCGCCUACUAUUGGAGCGGCCGAUAUCGGAUUAGCUCGUUGGUGGGGUAAAGGCCCACCCAGGCAACGAUCCGAAGCUGGUUUGAGAGGACGACCAUCGACAGUGGGACAGAGACACAGCGCAGACUCCGACGGGAGGCGGCAGUGGGGAAUGUUGGACAAUUGGGGAAGACCUGAUCCAGCCAUCCCGCGUGUAUGAGAAGGCCUUCGGGUUGUAAAGUACUUUUGGCAGAGAAGCGGUAUCUGCAGAAUAAGCACCGGCUAACUACGUGCCAGCCGCCGCGGUAAUUC
rnacentral:rRNA from 1 species